rnacentral:lncRNA from 1 species
GACGGUGAUGGUGAGUCGAUCAAUGCAAGGCAAUUAUUCCAUGUUUGAAUGCUCUUCGCUAUAAUUGUCGCUGGGCUUAGGUCUUUGAAUAGAGGAUUUUCGAGAGUCCUCUUUACUAAUGCUGAGUGGCACAGUUUUCCCAACCCAACAAGUUCGCCGCAACACUUGUUAGAAAUACUCCCUGUCUCGAAAAUACUCGUGAAAGCUUCUAGAACACAGGGCAAACCCAUUUUAGUUUCACAUGUAUUUUCCUUAAUAAUCUGGUCGUUCUCCUUCGUAGCCAUUGCUGCCCCGCAAGUUAAUAAUAAAACCAGUAGUGCGGAAUAAACAUUAAGGCUUGCCAUACCGCUCGAAUCUGAUGUUACUAGUUAAAUUUGGUUCGUAAAAUUAAUUUCGAACAAUAUUUGCAGGGAAAAACUGGCAUUUAUAGGAAGUGUUAUAACCACGUUGGACUACAAUACGUUACAAUAAAAGAAAACAUUCGAUAUUUCAGUUUAAUUAGAACAUUCAAUAUUUCAUUUUAAUUAGCAUUAAU